CAGGCCUAACACAUGCAAGUCGAGCGGUAACACAGGGAGCUUGCUCCCGGGUGACGAGCGGCGGACGGGUGAGUAAUGUCUGGGAAACUGCCUGAUGGAGGGGGAUAACUACUGGAAACGGUAGCUAAUACCGCAUAACGUCGCAAGACCAAAGAGGGGGACCUUCGGGCCUCUUGCCAUCGGAUGUGCCCAGAUGGGAUUAGCUAGUAGGUGGGGUAACGGCUCACCUAGGCGACGAUCCCUAGCUGGUCUGAGAGGAUGACCAGCCACACUGGAACUGAGACACGGUCCAGACUCCUACGGGAGGCAGCAGUGGGGAAUAUUGCACAAUGGGCGCAAGCCUGAUGCAGCCAUGCCGCGUGUAUGAAGAAGGCCUUCGGGUUGUAAAGUACUUUCAGCGAGGAGGAAGGCGAUAAGGUUAAUAACCUUGUCGAUUGACGUUACUCGCAGAAGAAGCACCGGCUAACUUCGUGCCAGCAGCCGCGGUAAU
rnacentral:rRNA from 1 species